CCUACGGGGGGCUGCAGUCGAGAAUUUUUCUCAAUGGGGGCAACCCUGAAGGAGCGACGCCGCGUGGAGGAUGAAGGCUUUCGGGUUGUAAACUCCUGUCAUUUGAGAACUAGUAUCAGAAGAGGAAGGGACGGCUAACUCUGUGCCAGCAGCCGCGGUAAUACAGAGGUCCCAAGCGUUGUUCGGAUUCAUUGGGCGUAAAGGGUGCGUAGGUGGCGCCGUAAGUGGGGUGUGAAAUUUCGGAGCUUAACUCCGAAACUGCAUUCCAUACUGCGGUGCUUGAGGACUGGAGAGGAGACUGGAAUUUACGGUGUAGCAGUGAAAUGCGUAGAGAUCGUAAGGAAGACCAGUGGCGAAGGCGGGUCUCUGGACAGUCCUGACACUGAGGCACGAAGGCCAGGGGAGCAAACGGGAUUAGAUACCCUUGUAGUC
rnacentral:rRNA from 1 species